AAGCCUGUCUCAGUUCGGAUUGGAGUCUGCAACCCGACUCCAUGAAGCUGGAUUCGCUAGUAAUCGCGCAUCAGCCACGGCGCGGUGAAUACGUUCCCGGGCCUUGUACACACCGCCCGUCAAGCCAUGGAAGCCGGGGGUGCCUGAAGUGCGCUGCCGCAAGGAGCGUCCUAGGGUAAAACCGGUGACUGGGGCUAAGUCGUAACAAGGUAGC
rnacentral:rRNA from 1 species